CAUGUUAAUGAUGAUUUACUUAAUCACCGAAUCACUUUAAUUGAUUCAUCAUGAAAACAAUCAUGUACCACCAUCUGAAACAUG